rnacentral:rRNA from 1 species
CAGUAGCCGCGGUAAUACGAAGGGUGCAAGCGUUGCUCGGAAUUACUGGGCGUAAAGCGUGCGUAGGUGGUGGUUUAAGUCCGUUGUGAAAGCCCUGGGCUCAACCUGGGAAUUGCAGUGGAUACUGGGUCACUAGAGUGUGGUAGAGGAUAGUGGAAUUUCCGGUGUAGCAGUGAAAUGCGUAGAGAUCGGAAGGAACAUCUGUGGCGAAGGCGACUAUCUGGGCCAACACUGACACUGAGGCACGAAAGCGUGGGGAGCAAACAGGAUUAGAUACCCGCGUAGUCCCUGUCUCUUAUAC